UACGUAGGGGGCGAGCGUUGUCCGGAUUUAUUGGGCGUAAAGGGCCCGCAGGCGGUUCGCCAAGUUUGUGGUGACAGCUCCUGGCUUAACCAGGAGAGUGCUGCAAAAACUGGUGGACUUGAGAGCGAGAGAGGGACAUGGAACUCCGGGUGGAGCAGUGAAAUGCGUAGAGAUCCGGAAGAACACCAAAGGCGAAGGCAGUGUCCUGGCUCGUUUCUGACGCUCAGGGGCGAAAGCUAGGGGAG
rnacentral:rRNA from 1 species